rnacentral:rRNA from 1 species
UACGUAGGGCGCGAGCGUUAAUCGGAAUUACUGGGCGUAAAGCGUGCGCAGGCGGUGAUGUAAGACAGUUGUGAAAUCCCCGGGCUCAACCUGGGAAUUGCAUCUGUGACUGCAUCGCUAGAGUACGGUAGAGGGGGAUGGAAUUCCGCGUGUAGCAGUGAAAUGCGUAGAUAUGCGGAGGAACACCGAUGGCGAAGGCAAUCCCCUGGACCUGUACUGACGCUCAUGCACGAAAGCGUGGGGAGCAAACAGG